rnacentral:rRNA from 1 species
GCCAUGGCGGCCGCGGGAAUUCGAUUAGAGUUUGAUCAUGGCUCAGAUUGAACGCUGGCGGCAGGCCUAACACAUGCAAGUCGAGCGGUAGAGAGGUGCUUGCACCUCUUGAGAGCGGCGGACGGGUGAGUAAUGCCUAGGAAUCUGCCUGGUAGUGGGGGAUAACGCUCGGAAACGGACGCUAAUACCGCAUACGUCCUACGGGAGAAAGCAGGGGACCUUCGGGCCUUGCGCUAUCAGAUGAGCCUAGGUCGGAUUAGCUAGUUGGUGGGGUAAUGGCUCACCAAGGCGACGAUCCGUAACUGGUCUGAGAGGAUGAUCAGUCACACUGGAACUGAGACACGGUCCAGACUCCUACGGGAGGCAGCAGUGGGGAAUAUUGGACAAUGGGCGAAAGCCUGAUCCAGCCAUGCCGCGUGUGUGAAGAAGGUCUUCGGAUUGUAAAGCACUUUAAGUUGGGAGGAAGGGCAUUAACCUAAUACGUUAGUGUUUUGACGUUACCGACAGAAUAAGCACCGGCUAACUCUGUGCCAGCAGCCGCGGUAAUACGAAUCACUAGUGAAUUCGCGGCCGCCUGCAGGUCGACCAUAUGGGAGAGCUCCCAA